rnacentral:rRNA from 1 species
GACGGAGGAUGCAAGCGUUAUCCGGAAUGAUUGGGCGUAAAGCGUCCACAGGUGGCAGUUCAAGUCUGCUGUCAAAGACCGGGGCUUAACUUCGGAAAGGCAGUGGAAACUGAACAGCUAGAGUAUGGUAGGGGCAGAGGGAAUUUCCGGUGGAGCGGUGAAAUGCGUAGAGAUCGGAAAGAACACCAACGGCGAAAGCACUCUGCUGGGCCGACACUGACACUGAGAGACGAAAGCUAGGGGAGCGAAUGGG